rnacentral:rRNA from 1 species
CCCUUAGAUGUUCUGGGCCGCACACGCGCUACACUGAAGGAGGCAGCGUGUACUCCUGGAUCGAAAGAUUUGGGUAACCCGCGAAUCUCCUUCGUGCUAGGGAUUGAGGUUUGCAAUUAUCCUUCAUGAACGAGGAAUUCCCAGUAGGUGCAAGUCAUAAGCUUGCGCUGACUACGUCCCUGCCCUUUGUACACACCGCCCGUCGCUACUACCGAUUGAAUGAUUUAGUGAGGACUUCGGACUGGGACCGAUGCGGCUUUCGGGCUGCGUCGGUAUUCUGGAAAGAUGUCCAAACUGUAUCAUUUAGAGGAAGUAAAAGUCGUAACA